GGACCAUCAUGUCGGUCGUGCCUCGGUACGUACUGGUAUUGUUGGUUUCUCCCUUCUGACGAACCAUGAUGUCAUUUAUUUGGUGUUGUGGGGAACCAGGAUCUUUACCUUGAAAAAAUUAGAGUGUUUAAAGCAGGCUCACGCUUGAAUACAUUAGCAUGGAAUAAUGAAAUAGGACGUUUGAUUCUAUUUUGUUGGUUUCUAGAGUCGCCGUA
rnacentral:rRNA from 1 species